ACACAGAUGGGAAGGUAAGCUUCAACAGGACACUGCCAGGAAGAAGCAUGAAGAAAGAGAUAAACCCAGAGGCGGAAUGAACCCUUUGGCAGUGGAGAUAUCUGACCAUGGAGAUCAGCUUCUGAAUGUCACCCACCAAGAAGCUGUGAGCUGGAUGCUCCACAGAUAUGAUAUACAGAGCCUUCCCUGCUGGCCUUUUUCCUUCCAUCUGGAGAUCAGCCCGGGUCCA
rnacentral:lncRNA from 1 species